AGAGUUUGAUCCUGGCUCAGGACGAACGCUGGCGGCGUGCCUAACACAUGCAAGUCGAACGGGUAGAGAGCUUCGGUUUUCUACUUAGUGGCGAACGGGUGAGUAACGCGUGAGAAACCUCCUUUCAGUGGGGGACAACAGUUGGAAACGACUGCUAAUACCGCAUAAUGUUAUUUGGGGCAUCCUCGAAUAACCAAAGAUUUAUUGCUGAAAGAUGGUCUCGCGUCUGAUUAGCUAGUUGUGAGGUAACGGCUCACCAAGGCGACGAUCAGUAGCCGGUCUGAGAGGAUGAACGGCCACUUGGGACUGAGAUACGGCCCAGACUCCUACGGGAGGCAGCAGUGGGGAAUAUUGGGCAAUGGGGAAACCCUGACCCAGCAACGCCGCGUGAAGGAAGAAGGCCUUCGGGUUGUAAACUUCUUUACCAGGGACGAACAAAUGACGGUACCUGGAGAAAAAGCAACGGCUAACUACGUGCCACAGCCGCGGUAAUACGUAGGUUGCAAGCGUUGUCCGGAUUUACUGGGUGUAAAGGGCGUGAGGCGGAGAUGCAAGUUGGGAGUGAAAUCCCGGGGCUCAACCCCGGAACUGCUUUCAAAAUGUAUCCCUUGAGUGUCGGAGAGGCAAGCGGAAUUCCUAGUGUAGCGGUGAAAUGCGUAGUAUUAGGAGGAACACCAGUGGCGAAGGCGGCUUGCUGGACGAUAACUGACGCUGAGGCGCAAAGCGUGGGGAGCAAACAGGAUUAGAUACCCUGGUAGUCCACGCUGUAAACGAUGA
rnacentral:rRNA from 1 species